GGGUGCAGUGGGAUGUGUGUCUGCUAGUAAACUAUUGCAGGAUGUGUAUAUAACCUUUUCUUGUGUGUUUUCUAGGUCAUGUGCUGUCAGUUUAUAGGUUCUAGUUUAGGAAGCAAAACAAGUUAUUAAUGUAGAUGGACUUGCAUUGAUUUUAGCAGGAUUUGUGGAAAAGAAAUAACUCAUUAAAGUUGUCAGAGCUACUGUAGUUUUCUCAGAGUUUUGCAAUCAGAACUUCUAAGGAACUGGAAAACUCAAAGCUCAGGUGAUGGAAAAGUUUGCCUGAACUUCAGGAAAGAAAUCCCAUUUUGCAAUUUCUCCUGGAUCAGCAUUCCAGAGCCUUUCUUCUUGUCUGGGGAAGAAAAGUUUAUAAGUACCAAGAAAGCAAAGAGCUUACAGAAGAAAGCAUGGGACUGGACUAUGCUGAAAAAAGGAUUUUGAUGCCUUUCACCACAUGCCUGACUUGGAGGGCACUGUGGUAGAAGUAGCAAGGCCAUGAAUGUGGUGCCAGACUGAGGCUCCCCAGAGCCUGAGGUGGCUCCUUACUGGUGCUUCCACAUACUGGUGGUUCAGAAGAAGUCCUGAUGAUGCUGUAUUUGGUUAAACUUGGCAAACUCAGCAUGAUCCUCAGGAGCACUGGGAGCAGAUCCUGCCAUCCACACUGCUGCUAUCUUGUGCCAUGUGUUGUGGAGCUCCACGAGGCACCUUGCAGUGUAAACUGUGAGUAAAGAUGA